UACGUAGGCAGCGAGCGUUGUUCGGAGUUACUGGGCGUAAAGAGUGCGUAGGCGGUUUUCUAAGUUUGGUGUGAAAUCUCCCGGCUUAACUGGGAGGGUGCGCCGAAAACUGGAAGGCUUGAGUAUGGGAGAGGUAAGCGGAAUUCCUGGUGUAGCGGUGAAAUGCGUAGAUAUCGUAAGGAAGACCAGUAGCGAAGGCGGGUCUCUGGACAGUUCCUGACGCUGAGGCGCGAAGGCGUGGGGAGCGAACGGGG
rnacentral:rRNA from 1 species